ensembl:piRNA 21ur-1440 ncRNA
UGAUAAAUUGUGCGAAUUUUG